UUUCCGUAGGUGAACCUGCGGAAGGAUCAUUAUUGUAUAACCGAGGUGCGAGGGCUGUCGCUGACCCGAAAGGUCGUGCACGCCCGAGUGCCCUCACACACAUCCAUCUCACCCCUAUGUGCACCACCGCGUGGGUCCCCCCUUGGCUUGUUCGGAGGGGGGCUUACGUUUUCACACAAACUUUGUAUGCAGUGUAGAAUGUAUUUUUUGUUUUUGCGAUCACGCAAUCAAUACAACUUUCAACAACGGAUCUCUUGGCUCUCGCAUCGAUGAAAAACGCAGC
rnacentral:misc_RNA from 1 species